GGGGUGCGGACAGUGUCUGGUGGGUAGUUUGACUGGGGCGGUCUCCUCCCAAAGAGUAACGGAGGAGCACGAAGGUUGGCUAAGCAUGGUCGGACAUCAUGCGGUUAGUGCAAAGGCAUAAGCCAGCUUGACUGCGAGAGUGACGGCUCGAGCAGGUACGAAAGUAGGUCUUAGUGAUCCGGUGGUUCUGAAUGGAAGGGCCAUCGCUCAACGGAUAAAAGGUACUCCGGGGAUAACAGGCUGAUACCGCCCAAGAGUUCAUAUCGACGGCGGUGUUUGGCACCUCGAUGUCGGCUCAUCACAUCCUGGGGCUGAAGUAGGUCCCAAGGGUACGGCUGUUCGCCGUUUAAAGUGGUACGCGAGCUGGGUUUAGAACGUCGUGAGACAGUUCGGUCCCUAUCUGCCGUGGGCGUUGGAAGAUUGAAAGGGGCUGCUCCUAGUACGAGAGGACCGGAGUGGACGCACCACUGGUGUUCGGGUUGUCAUGCCAAUGGCAUUGCCCGGUAGCUAAGUGCGGAAGAGAUAACCGCUGAAAGCAUCUAAGCGGGAAACUUGCCUUGAGAUGAGUCUUCCCUGACUCUUUAAG
rnacentral:rRNA from 1 species